CCAAUUUAUAUUUACGCCGUUAGUAAUUGGAUAUAGAAUCACAAAACCUCAUACAAUAACAAUUGUCUAAAAAUACUCAACAAAAAAAAACAAAUUUUGCUGUACUGCAACAUAACAUUACUGAGCUAGGCCAGAUCGAAUUGGGGAAACAAAAGUCUAUUUGGUUAAAAACAGACCAAUUAUAUGCAAAUUAUAGCGCCUGUGUUUUGGUGGUGUAGGCAAUGAUCAACUCAAGGAGGUACCCCAAUAUAUCAGGCUCCAAGGACAAUAUAGGCUGGAGCUGAGGCACUGUCUUGUAGGCAUCCACAGUCAAGGUGAUGUGUGCCAAAUUCAGAAAGAGGAUUGAGAAGGUGCUCGCCGCAAGGGGAGAAUACUUCAUGUAGUUGUUAAUAAAAAAUAUGCUUGAUUUUCGGUCGAUUUAAAAAAAAUGAUCCCUUAUUUUUUUAUGAAUGGUGUAAAUUAAAGUACAAUAUGAGAGCUAAAAGCAUAUAAAGCAGAAUCAGAAUUAUGGCAUACAUUCUACAGUUUACAUCCCCAUUCCUCCUCACCCUUUGUUUGUAACACAUGUUUUAUUAUCUUAAAAUUGUAUUCAUAUAAUGCUGGGCAAUGCAAGGUACAGACCUUAAAUUAAUCCGCAAAUUAUUUUGUUAGGGACUCCAAAAAGAUUCUUUGAAGUGGCAUUAAUUAGUGUUGAGACUGAGCUCGAGGGUAAUUUUUUCGUUCAGUCUUACAAGGGGACCCUACAACCUCGACCAUUUAUGUAUUCAUGAAACUUUUCAAGAUAGUGGUUUACUUUAAGAUUAUUCUCUCAUGAAAGUAUUGACCCACAUUAUCCAGAAGAUUCCAUGGAAAUAGCCGUCAAAGUUUUUAAAAUUGAAAAUUCAAGUGUUAUUUUUGUUUUGACCUUAUUGUAGGAAUACGUCAUAAACAGUCUUCAUGAUUGCUUGUGGUUCGAAUAUUCCGUAACUUUUUUUGGAGAUGAAUUUUAUAACUUAAUUUGUUAUUUAAACAAAACUAAAAUAAACGUAACUAAAAUAUUUUUUUAAAAGGACUGUGUUAGUUGUUUUUUUAGAGAAGACAAUUUCUGAUAUUAUUUCAUCCCUCAGUAAUCUCAGGUCUAGAGAGUACAGUUAAAAAGAAACGAUUGUUAAGCAUAAUAAUUUAGAAUGUAGUUCUUGCCCUCACGUAUGAUGUUGGCCUUCACUGAAGGUUAGGGCUUGGCACAGGCAUUUAUUUCUAACUCCCCUUAGACGUAGAAGUCCAAGGGUUCAUGUCAGGGGAGCUAAGGGUCCAGGUCUCGACGUGCAAGAAAGCUGGGAAAUUGGUUUGGUGCCAAUAUUGAGCAAUUUAUCCCCGUGUACCGGCACUGCCUCAUGUUGGAACAAUUACGGGCGCCCCGCCACAACCUCGUUAAUCCACAGGACGACAGUGUUCUUGAGCUUGGGAAUAAGUACGCAGUCUCCUAGAGCUAUUUAGCUCUAAAACAAUGUCCCGUAACGACGUCACUCGGGUUAACCUCGGACCAGUAGAUACAGCUGCAGGACAGUGAAAAUGUUUUUCGGGUCUUCAACUAGACUCCUUGGAGAGCCUUUGCAUUGGGCCGAAAGAAAAAGGGCCACAUGAAGUCGCCCUCACUUCAGACAACCAUAAUGGAGGCAGAGUGUUUACUCUUUUGCUUCGGGACAACCUCGAGCUUGUUCUUGGCAAUCCACCUGUCCUUCUUCCUGUUGAUGUGGGAGUAGACGGUGAAAAAUUUUCGCCUCAAAAAAAUCUCAGAGUAGGAAUUUUGCCAAUCUUCAACCGACUCAAGAUCUUGGGACAGUACUCCAUAUACUUAGCGGUGGCCGAGAGGAGGUGAGUAUGGCUCUGGACAUUAGAAGUGAGGCCCAAUUCGCCGUCAUUGGGCUCACAAAUUGGUCCUUGACCAGCUUCAACAUUGGAUUCCCCCCAAUUGACCUCUUCAUGAAGGAAGGAAUUUUUGGGUCCUCUUCUUGUCGCUUUAGUGCCUAACGGUGACGUCGCCCACUUCGUCCAGGUGUACCCGCUGGAAUUGAUAAUAGCCCUAGCACUGCUUCCUUUUCCAGCUAUUUCAACAAAAGUCGCUCAUUUCCAUGGUCGAUGAUACUUUUACAGCGAAAUUGGAACCAAUGGACGAUAAGACAUCUCAUAUAUGGCCGUUAUCUCGACAGUAACACCCUUGAUAUUCAUCUUGAUGAAGUCAAACAGUCCAAAUUUAUCUGUUGACCUUGUAUGUUAAUGUAAAUUUUUGCCUCGUAUCCCCAGAUGAUAUUGUACAAUUAUAAAUAUUUUAAUUAACAUAUCUUUAAAAAAAUGAAAAGUUUAGCUUUAUGUUAAGCGUACCUAAUCAGUAAUAGUAAAUAAGAUGCCUGUAGUAUAUGAUAUGAGUUUGAUUUUCUAUUCUGACAUAGAAAAAAAACUAGACAGAGGAGUUCACAAAACAUUAAAUACAUAUCUUAGUUAUAUAGAUAAUAAUAGUUAAUUAAUUAUUGGCAUAACACACAUGCUGCGUUACAUACACUAAAUAAUAAAGUAAUAAUGAGUACAUAUUAAAAUAUAUGUUGUUUCUAUAACGAAAAAGAUAUCCUUU
rnacentral:lncRNA from 1 species